UACAGAGGGGGCAAGCGUUGUUCGGAAUCAUUGGGCGUAAAGCGCGUGUAGGCGGCUUGGCAAGUCAGUUGUGAAAGCCCGGGGCCCAACCCCGGAACUGCAUCUGAAACUGCUUGGCUCGAGUCCCGGAGAGGAAGGCAGAAUUCCCGGUGUAGGGGUGAAAUCCGUAGAUAUCGGGAGGAAUACCAGCGGCGAAGGCGGCCUUCUGGACGGUGACUGACGCUGAGACGCGAAAGCGUGGGGAGCAAACAGG
rnacentral:rRNA from 1 species